GAACCUGCCUCAAAGAGGGGGACAACAGUUGGAAACGACUGCUAAUACCGCAUAAGCCCACGGGUCGGCAUCGACCAGAGGGAAAAGGAGCAAUCCGCUUUGAGAUGGCCUCGCGUCCGAUUAGCUAGUUGGUGAGGUAAUGGCCCACCAAGGCGACGAUCGGUAGCCGGACUGAGAGGUUGAACGGCCACAUUGGGACUGAGACACGGCCCAGACUCCUACGGGAGGCAGCAGUGGGGAAUAUUGCACAAUGGGGGAAACCCUGAUGCAGCGACGCCGCGUGGAGGAAGAAGGUCUUCGGAUUGUAAACUCCUGUUGUUGAGGAAGAUAAUGACGGUACUCAACAAGGAAGUGACGGCUAACUACGUGCCAGCAGCCGCGGUAAAACGUAGGUCACAAGCGUUGUCCGGAAUUACUGGGUGUAAAGGGAGCGCAGGCGGGAAGACAAGUUGGAAGUGAAAUCUAUGGGCUCAACCCAUAAACUGCUUUCAAAACUGUUUUUCUUGAGUAGUGCAGAGGUAGGCGGAAUUCCCGGUGUAGCGGUGGAAUGCGUAGAUAUCGGGAGGAACACCAGUGGCGAAGGCGGCCUACUGGGCACCAACUGACGCUGAGGCUCGAAAGUGUGGGUAGCAAACAGGAUUAGAUACCCUGGUAGUCCACACCGCAAACGAUGAUUACUAGGUG
rnacentral:rRNA from 1 species